AAGAGACAGCAGCAGCCGCGGGAAUACGGAGGGUGCAAGCGUUAAUCGGAAUUACUGGGCGUAAAGCGCACGCAGGCGGUUUGUUAAGUCAGAUGUGAAAUCCCCGAGCUUAACUUGGGAACUGCAUUUGAAACUGGCAAGCUAGAGUCUUGUAGAGGGGGGUAGAAUUCCAGGUGUAGCGGUGAAAUGCGUAGAGAUCUGGAGGAAUACCGGUGGCGAAGGCGGCCCCCUGGACAAAGACUGACGCUCAGGUGCGAAAGCGUGGGGAGCAAACAGGAUUAGAUACCCGCGUAGUCCCUGUCUCUUAUAC
rnacentral:rRNA from 1 species